CUCGGUCUCACAAGGGGAAUGUUAUUUUACGCUUUUUUUUGCCUCCUCUGUUAACUAGAAAAUAGUAUUUAAUGAGAAAAGAGGAUUUAAAUAGGCUGAUUGUGGUCGAGAGCUAAACAAGUCUUUGAGGAACCGUUUCAACUGAAGAAACUGAAAAGAUUAGACGUACGUGCCGAUAGUAAAAUCUACCCGAGUGUUCGUGAAUCCGCCCGUCUCGUUCUUCGCAGCUAAAAAGAGGACUUCAGACUCAACACUGUAUUCUCAUAAAUGCGUCACGAAGCAAAAUCAAAGCAAAAAGGUGAAUUCAGAUAAAUAAAGCAAGGACUAAGCCGUCAUUAUAGGCUGGCUGAAAUGAAAGCAGAUGUAAAUAAACGUUUUUCAAAUUCCUUUCUUGCUUAGUAUAAUUAUAUUCAAUCAACACACAUUCUUUCCCUAUAGCCAACAUAAUAUGCUUUUGCUCUGUUGAUACUCCCCUAAAGUCUGUGUGAAUAUAAGUCUUUAACUGUCGACAAAAUUAUUGACCAUGUUAUGAUUUCUGAUGCUUGAAGACCAGGUCUUCAACUCCAAAGUUACGUACUGCAACUGUAAUUAACAUAUUUGCAAAUUAACUAAACUGAUUGCAUUAUUCUCAUGUACAUAGGUAACAACAAUAAAUGCUAUUUGCAUAUAUAACAAAAUGCUGGCUACACUGUUAUUAGCAAAUGUAGAUAUUGUUUUUUUCUUGUAAUUUUUCUAUGUACUUGCUAAAAUGGCUUGGCCCUCUACAUGACUGCUUAUUAUACACGAACAUGAUUCAAGAGAGACUCAUAUGUAAUAAUGGCAGGGGAUAGGGCUUUGAAUAUUUAAAAUAUUUGGUUGUUUGUUAUUAGAUGGAAGAUGGAUUUUAUACAGGAUAUAAGAGAAAGGAUGGUUUACAUUAAAAGGAUUAUUUGAUUUA